rnacentral:rRNA from 1 species
GUUAGCCUACGGGGCGCAGCAGUAGGGAAUCUUCCACAAUGGGCAAAAGCCUGAUGGAGCAACGCCGCGUGGGUGAAGAAGGUCUUCGGAUCGUAAAACUCUGUUGUUAGAGAAGAGAGUGCGUGAGAGUAACUGUUCACGUUUCGACGGUAUCUAACCAGAAAGCCACGGCUAACUACGUGCCAGCAGCCGCGGUAAUACGUAGGUGGCAAGCGUUAUCCGGAUUUAUUGGGCGUAAAGGGAACGCAGGCGGUCUUUUAAGUCUGAUGUGAAAGCCUUCGGCUUAACCGGAGUAGGGCAUUGGA